UACAGAGGGGGCAAGCGUUGUUCGGAAUUACUGGGCGUAAAGGGCGCGUAGGCGGCCUUCUAAGUCGAACGUGAAAUCCCCGGGCUCAACCCGGGAACUGCGUCCGAUACUGGAAGGCUUGAAUCCGGGAGAGGGAUGUGGAAUUCCAGGUGUAGCGGUGAAAUGCGUAGAUAUCUGGAGGAACACCGGUGGCGAAGGCGACAUCCUGGACCGGUAUUGACGCUGAGGCGCGAAAGCCAGGGGAGCAAAGCGGGAU
rnacentral:rRNA from 1 species